rnacentral:rRNA from 1 species
AUUGUGGAUGAUCCUAACUCCUCCUCCUCUAUCUAUAAAAGCUUGUCCUUUUGCCUUAGGCAAGGUAGUUCUAGAGUUCCAGAGAUUGAGAAUUGUCAAGUUAGCAAGACCUUCAUGCUGCAAGAGCCUUCUUCAUACCCAUAAGGCCAAAUCUAAGUAAGGAGAUUCUUGUCCCAUAACCAAGGAGAGAGAGGCUUGUUCCCAUUCCCAACAAGAUUUGCAAGACAUGUGUUUCUGAUCACCUAGCGAAAGGAGGAUUUGACGUCAGAACUAUGGUUGUAUUCUUCUUUGUUUAUCAUUAAUAGACGACUAUUGUCAUGGUUCCACUCUUAUUGUUCUUUGAAAUUAUGAUGAGUUAUAUCCUUUCUAACUGAGAUAUAGUUUCAUCUAUUGGAUUUUAUGCUUGUGUUUGUGUCAUUCUUUGCAUGUGCAGGUGUCCAUUCACGGAGAUCGUGGGGAUCGUGACCAGCCAGAGCAAAGGAAUGGGAGUGUCAACUCUUAUACAAGUACUAGCGUUGGAAUCUGGGUAGGCCCUCAUCAUUGGUCUUUGAUUUGCAAUUAGGAACCUGCGUGAUAGCAUUGUUUGAUUGUUGCUAGACCCAAUCUGGGCUAGUAGGCAUCGCCUCUGUCCGCAGAGGGGAUUUACCUCCACAACAAUUAGCAUGGAAUAACGUGAUAGGAGUCUGGUCCUAUUGUGUUGGCCUUUGGGACCGGAGUAAUGAUUAAUAGGGACUGUCGGGGACAUUCGUAUUUCAUUGUCAGAGGUGAAAUUCUUGGAUUUAUGAAAGAUGGACCACUGCGAAAGCAUUUUCCAAGGACGUUUUUGUUAAUCAAGAAUGAAAGUUGGGGGCUCUAAGACGAUCAGAUACCAUCCUAGUCUCAACCAUAAACAAUGCCGACCAGGGAUCGGUGGAUGUUACUCUAAGGACUCCGCCAGCACCUUCUGAGAAAUCAUAGUGUUUGGGUUCUGGAGGGAGUAUGGUCGCAAGGCUGAAACUUAAAGGAAUUGACGGAAGGGCACCACCAGGAGUGGAGCCUAUGGCUUAAUUUGACUCAAAACAGGGAAACUUACCAGGUCCAAACAUAGUAAGGAUUGACAUAUUGAGAGCUCUUUCUUGAUUCUAUGGGUGGUGGUGCAUGGCCGUUCUUAGUUGGUGGAGUGAUUUGUCUAGUUAAUUCAGAUAACGAAUGAGACCUCAGCCCGCUAACUAGCUACAUGAAGGUUCCCCUUCGCGGCCAACUUCUUAGAGGGACUAUGGCCGUUUAGGCCAUGGAAGUUUGAGGCAAUAACAGGUCUGUGAUGCCCUUAGGUGUUAUGGGCUGCACGCGUGCUACACUGAUGCAACCAACGAGCUUUUCUUCCUAGUUCGAGAGGAUCGGGAAAUCUUCUCAAAUUGCAUUGUGAUGGGGAUAGACCAUUGCAAUUAUUGGUAUUCAAUGAGGAAUUCCUAGUAAGCGCGUGUCAUGAACUCAUGUUGACUACGUCCCUACACUUUGUACACACCACCCAUCACUCCUACCGAUUGAAUGAUCCAAUGAAGUGUUCGGAUUGCGUUGACGAUGGUGGUCCACCACCAUCAAUGUCAUGAGAAGUUCAUUGAACCUUAUCAUUUAGAGGAAGGAGAAGUCAUAACAAGGUUACCGUAGGUGAACCUACGGUAG